GUGGCGCUCGCAGCGAGAGAUUUGGACGGACGCCUCGUUCUGACGCGGCGAGCCGAGAGCACCAUCGGCAUGAAAUUGGGAAUAAUAAAACAUUCAGCGUUAUAUAUUUAUUUAUUUAUCUGGCGUGGGCCUAACGGCAGCAGCCCCGUGGUAGCCGGGUGGCUUUCAUGCUCGCCAGCGCGAGUGGCCGAAGCCGACGGGGGUCGUACCGUUACGUACGAAGCGUUGAUGUAGUCCGACCCCUCCACGCCGGGAAUCGGGGAGAGCAGCACGCGGGAGUGCUCGGCUGUGGGAGAGAAGAGCGCGCGACCGGUGCGAGAAGGUGAAGCGAGUGCCAAAAGGUCCAGGAAAAGAGUGCGGCGUGGGUGGUCCGCUUCAUGGGGUCCAACAAGUCCACCAUUAGAACCUCCCUCAUCACCACGGACUUCAACCCUCAGCAUUAAAGGCCUUGCCGGCGCUCGUGCAUUCGCCAUGUCGGGAUCCUCCUCCUCCUGUCCCCGUCAGCAGCUGUCAGGGGAGCGCCAGAGCGACGUCAUCGCACAUCGUCGCGGCCGUAAAACGUCAACGGCACGAGCAACCGGGGCCAUGGCGCGCUCAUCGUUAAACCCUCUCAGACAAAUUGAAUCCCUCGCAAAAGUUCCUCUCCGCUGCAGCCGCCGCAUGGCUCUGGAAGGAAAUAAAUAAAGCAAACCCUCACGUCGCGAUAAUUAAAUUUCGUAUUUUAAUCAACGGAAGGAAUCGAGUGGAAUUUCAAGGCACAGUGGUGGCAGGUUGGGUGGAAGCAGGGGCCACAGGAGAACCCACGCUGUUAGCGAGAAGCAACUAUGAAGGCCACACAAAGAAAAAAACCCCCCCUAUACGUGGGGUGGUAGGUGGCCAGCACCACGCCCGUCCGCUUCUGUAUCCCGAGUGGCGAUGUUUACACAUCACACCGAGUACCUAUUUGAGGCUGAGUCGACCUAGGAGAGGCCCAGGACUGGUUUAGAUAAACGUCACUGGUGUUAGUGGCCGUGAACAGCCAGUACCAGGUACAUUGUGUGCCGUUCGUUUUGGCAGUUGGAGGAAACCGGAGAACCCAGAGAUCAUAAAGCUGCGCGCAGAAAGGCGCCCGCAUCGGGAGAUCUAACCCACCAUCACCCUGCCGCCGACAUUGGCGGUGUUUUUCACCGAAGACCAUUUGAGAACGAGAGAUUUUCACUGGAGGAGAGACGUCGCAAAUUUGGAGCGAUGCGGCACUAUCCGCUUUGCGGAAACCUGGCAAAGCUGAGCGACGAGAUCCGUCACGAACGCCCCUGAAGACGUCUGCACGUGCAAAUUCGCGUUCACGAGUAAAGAGCUCGCGACGAUUAACGGCAUUCGCACCAGCACGUUCAACCGCGAUUAGCGACGGGGGCCAGCGCGAGGUUUGAAAAUAGACUUUCCCAGUAAUGCCCGAAGUACAGGGAAUGCAAAUGAUUAAAAAAGCAAUUAUCCGACGGUGAGCAAAUAACAAAGUGGCCCGCUCGCCCAUUCGGGGUCGGCUGGAAUAGAGAACCGUUUGGAUCGCUGCUCCACGUACGACGAUACGUCGCGGUGAAAAUAACAAGGUUCGGGUCCAGCGUUCCAGCUCCCGGGGGUGGAGGGGGGGGCUUGGCACAAUAAUUCCCUCUGCUGAAUGUAAGAGGCCGGGCGGGGGGCCGCAAAAAGUCGUCGCGACCCCGGGGGUCGAGGGGCAGCGGCGCGCCCGGUGGAGAGAGCGCCUCCGGGUCGGCGCGCGACGUGGGAGACAAGCGCAGGAAACGGAACAAAAGCUGCGGAUGAGCGCGGUGAGGUGCAUGCUGGGAGCUUGCUGUGAGAUUAGAGAUCAGUUUAACAUGUAGGCUUGGUUACUCCAAACUAAACUUAACAAUUGUUUUCAUAGCUAAGGCCCACUGUGCGAUAUGGAUCUUUUUCAAAUGCGUCCUGGCCAUAAAUGAUGGCUCAACAAAGUGGCUUAUCACGUGGAAAUUUAUAGCAGAUAAACGCAUCAUGUUGUUUCUAAAUGUGGAGGGAAAAACCGGAAGACCCGGACAAAAAUCCAAGCGACCACAGGGAGAGAGACACUGCCAGGAGAGGCGGUGAACAUCCCGGCCAUCACGGCGCCACAAUCUAAAGACCGCUCACCACAAAACAUUUCAGAAAUGUGAUUGGGCGCCACGUCGUCCGGAACGUCGCCCCUUAUAUACCCCCCAGACUGCCUCAGCAGCAGCAGCAGCAGCAGACCAUGCUUUCCCACCUGAUGACGGACGCUUGUGUUGCACCCGAAACGUCGUGAUUCAUUUUAUUUUCUACCCACGUGACUUUACCGAAAGAACCAAAGAGUAUGGAUUCCUGCAGUCACAAAAGCUUCAAAUCAAAAAUAUUCCCCAUGUUAAGGCCAAAGACACACGUGCACACACGUGUGUACGCACACAUGCACACAAACACACACACGUGUGUACGCACACAUGCACACACACACACGUGUGUACGCACACAUGCACACAUACACACGUGCACACGCAUGCGCACACACUUGCACCAACACACCCGUAAAAAACGCAUUUGUUGUUUAAAAUACGGAUGAGAGUCACUCACACGACUCUGCUUGUGCAUGGCAGUGUGGCCGGUCUUGGCGUGCGGCGUGAGGAUGCGGUUCACGUAGGCGUGCAGGCUGCCGGCCGGCACCUCGGUGUCGCGGCACGUCACCGCACCCACCAGCGCCUCG